AGAUUUUUUUCAGAUGAAGAGGAUCCCGAUAUGCCGAGUAAAACAAAGGCGGGCCCUGAACCAGGCUGCUCAAUGGAUUUAGAGAUAGGGGAACCCGGAAUGCUGGGUAAAACCAAGGCGGGCCCUGAACCAGGCUGCUCCUCAAUGGACUUUGAAACAAGAAAACAAAAACAAAAAAAAAAACCGACGCAAACAGAGGAACCCUGCACCAGGCUCCUCAAUGGAAAUUGAGUAGACGAUUUGUGGCAAAGUGAUCUUCACGGAAGCCCCGAUAGGAAUUAUCUCUUCAGAAAAUUGCAGCGAUUUGUGGCCAAGUGAUCUUCACGGAAGCCCCGAUAGGAAUUAUCUAAUUUCAGACAAUUGCAGCAACCUUUACGGAGAUUUUUUGUGAUUUAUUUUUAUUCUCCAUUUUUUCAAUAUUUUUUGCAGAAUCUGUGUUUCUUGACUUUUUUAGGUUUGUCCUUUUUCUUCUUCCUUACGUUGACGGAAGUAUUCAUGUCUAGUAUUGUCACAUAGUGACUGCUGCCUUUCAUAAUUAUCUCCGCGGUGCCACGGACCAGCAUGGCCUCUAGGGCUUGAAAAAUAUAAGAAAAAUAAUAAGAUAAAGGUUCUAGAUCCAGAGAUACAAAUACACAGUUGGAUAAUGACACACAGAUAUAUAUGCAGACGUACAUGCAGAAAUACACAAACAGAAAACGCAAAUACAGAAAUACACAAACAGAAAACGCAAAUACAGAAAUACACAGAAACAAAUGCAGAUACACAAAACACAGAUACGAAAUGCACAGACAGAAAACACGUGCGGAAAUGCAAAGACACAAAUACACAGACGAAGGAAUGUACAGUAGCAGAAAUACACAGAAAACAAAAAUGCAGCAAGAGCUAAAACAAUAAACACAUGCACACAAAUACACAGUUACAGAAAUACAGACGAAUACAUAGAAAAACAAAAAUACACACACACACACA